GGGUCAGUAGGUUGGUCGUGCCUCCGGUACGUACUGGUCUCACUGAUUCCUCCUUCCUGAAGAACCGUAAUGCCAUUAAUUUGGUGUUGCGGGGAAACAGGACUGUUACUUUGAAAAAAUUAGAGUGUUUAAAGCAAGCUAACGCUUGAAUACAUUAGCAUGGAAUAAUGAAAUAGGACGAUCGAUCCUAUUUUGCUGGUUUCUAGGAUUGACGUA
rnacentral:rRNA from 1 species